rnacentral:rRNA from 1 species
AUUGAACGCUGGCGGCAUGCCUUACACAUGCAAGUCGAACGGCAGCACGGGAGCAAUCCUGGUGGCGAGUGGCGAACGGGUGAGUAAAGUAUCGGAACGUGCCCAGUCGUGGGGGAUAACGUAGCGAAAGUUACGCUAAUACCGCAUACGAUCGUUGGAUGAAAUCGGGGGAUCGCAAGACCUCGCGCGAUUGGAGCGGCCGAGAUCAGAUUAGGUAGUUGGUGGGGUAAAGGCUCACCAAGCCGACGAUCUGUAGCUGGUCUGAGAGGACGACCAGCCACACUGGGACUGAGACACGGCCCAGACUCCUACGGGAGGCAGCAGUGGGGAAUUUUGGACAAUGGGCGAAAGCCUGAUCCAGCCAUGCCGCGUGCAGGAUGAAGGCCUUCGGGUUGUAAACUGCUUUUGUACGGAACGAAAAGGUUUGGCCUAAUAAGCUGAGCUCAUGACGGUACCGUAAGAAUAAGCACCGGCUAACUACGUGCCAGCCGCCGCUGUAA